GAGAAAGCGAGUGGGUGGGUGCAGAAAAAAGGAAGUGGCGGUGAAGAAGAUAGAAGUUAAAGACAAAACGACAGAAAACAACAGAUGAGAGGAAAGGAAGACGAGGACUAACACAGAGAAGAGAAGACGAAAGACGGGAGGGAGACACGAAAACACGAAAGGUGAGAGUGAGGCGGAGCUGCAGAGUCAGAGGAGGAUUCACACGUUACAAUCACAACACCAAUGCUGUCACUCAACCGCAUGGUGUUGUGAUGAACAGCUGAGACUCACAAACACACAGACACACACACGCACGCACACAGACACAGACACACACACACAGACACACAGACACACACACGCCCACACACAGACACACGCACGCACACACACAGACACACACACA